CCUACGGGUCGCACCAGUGGGGAAUAUUGCACAAUGGGUGCAAGCCUGAUGCAGCGACGCCGCGUGAGGGAUGACGGCCUUCGGGUUGUAAACCUCUUUCAGCAGGGACGAAGCGCAAGUGACGGUACCUGCAGAAGAAGCACCGGCCAACUACGCGCCAGCAGCCGCGGUAAUACGUAGGGUGCGAGCGUUGUCCGGAAUUACUGGGCGUAAAGAGCUCGUAGGUGGUUUGUCGCGUUGUUCGUGAAAACUCACAGCUCAACUGUGGGCGUGCGGGCGAUACGGGCAGACUGGAGUACUGCAGGGGAGACUGGAAUUCCUGGUGUAGCGGUGGAAUGCGCAGAUAUCAGGAGGAACACCGGUGGCGAAGGCGGGUCUCUGGGCAGUAACUGACACUGAGAGACGAAAGCUAGGGGAGCGAAUGGGAUUAGAUACCCGCGUAGUC
rnacentral:rRNA from 1 species